GAUGAACGCUAGCGACAGGCCUAACACAUGCAAGUCGAGGGGCAGCACGGUGUAGCAAUACACGGGUGGCGACCGGCGCACGGGUGAGUAACGCGUAUGCAACCUGCCUACUACAAGGGGAUAACCCGUUGAAAGACGGACUAAUACCCCAUAACACAGGGAUCCCGCAUGGGAAUAUUUGUUAAAGAUUUAUCGGUUGUAGAUGGGCAUGCGUUCCAUUAGCUUGUUGGUGAGGUAACGGCUCACCAAGGCAACGAUGGAUAGGGGAACUGAGAGGUUUAUCCCCCACACUGGUACUGAGACACGGACCAGACUCCUACGGGAGGCAGCAGUGAGGAAUAUUGGUCAAUGGACGCAAGUCUGAACCAGCCACGUCGCGUGAAGGAAGACGGCCCUACGGGUUGUAAACUUCUUUUGUAAGGGAAUAAAGUGUAGUACGUGUACUAUUUUGCAUGUACCUUACGAAUAAGGAUCGGCUAACUCCGUGCCAGCAGCCGCGGUAAUACGGAGGAUCCGAGCGUUAUCCGGAUUUAUUGGGUUUAAAGGGUGCGCAGGCGGGAGAUUAAGUCGGCGGUGAAAUUUUGCAGCUCAACUGUAAAAGUGCCUUCGAAACUGGUUUCCUUGAGUGUGGAUGAAGUAGGCGGAAUUUGUGGUGUAGCGGUGAAAUGCAUAGAUAUCACGAGGAACUCCGAUUGCGCAGGCAGCUUACUAAACCAUAACUGACGCUCAGGCACGAAGGCGUGGGGAUCAAACA
rnacentral:rRNA from 1 species